rnacentral:rRNA from 1 species
AACACCGCAUAAAAACACAGGAUAGCAUUAUCCAAUGUUCAAAUAUUUAUAGGAUUAAGAUGGGCAUGCGUGUCAUUAGCUAGUUGGCGGGGUAACGGCCCACCAAGGCGACGAUGACUAGGGGAUCUGAGAGGAUGGCCCCCCACACUGGUACUGAGACACGGACCAGACUCCUACGGGAGGCAGCAGUAAGGAAUAUUGGUCAAUGGAGGCAACUCUGAACCAGCCAUGCCGCGUGCAGGAAGACUGCCCUAUGGGUUGUAAACUGCUUUUAUCCGGGAAUAAACCUACUUACGUGUAAGUAGCUGAAUGUAUUUUUAUUUUAUAAGGAUCGGCUAACUCCGUGCCAGCAGCCGCGGUAAUACGGAGGAUCCAAGCGUUAUCCGGAUUUAUUGGGUUUAAAGGGUGCGUAGGCGGCCUGUUAAGUCAGGGGUGAAAGACGGUAGCUCAACUAUCGCAGUGCCCUUGAUACUGAUGGGCUUGAAUGGACUAGAGGUAGGCGGAAUGAGACAAGUAGCGGUG